GUUUUGUGUUGAACAGGCAAAGUAUCACCGCUCCGUAUUUUAAACUGCUAACUACACACCUAUACUUCAGGAACUAUUACUACUAUGUGGAUGUAAGCAAAGUGUUCUCAUUCCCUCUUGGAUGUGUGCAGCCAGUGAGGUACGUUUUGUUUAAGGGCUUGUUAUAUCUGCUCGACGGCACGGACAGCUAACUGGGAUAGCGAGUGGAGCUAGCGGCUGCCGGAUGGAGCAGCCAGUCAGCCAGCUUGCUAACUACACACCGGUGCUUACGUCCACAUGUACUCAACGAAGUGGAAACGCCUUUGACGAUGCCACGUGCAAAGUCAUGCCACCAUCAAUGGGAAUGGCACAUUGGACACGUGGCUUUCAACUCCAGCGAGGUGGCGGCACGGAUCUCUGCAUGUCUGACUGACAUCUCCCAGUGGAUGUCCGCCCAUCACCUGAAGAUCAACCCCGACAAGACUGAACUACUUCUCUUCCCUGGAAAAAACUCGCCCACUCAGGACCUGACUGUUAACUUUGGCGAACACCGUUAACAUCAGGAGAAUACGACCCCUUCUCACUCAGAAGGCGGCGCAGGUACAGAUUCAGGCUCUUGUCAUCUCUCGCCUCGACUACUGUAACUCUCUGCUGGCGGGUCUCCCUGCUACCGCCAUACGACCACUGCAGCUCAUCCAGAAUGCAGCAGCUCGACUGGUCUUCAACCUUCUGAAAUACUCCCACACCACACCGCUUCUCCGUUCUCUUCAUUGGUUACUAGUGGCUCCCCGCAUCCAGUUCAAAGCAUUGGUACUGACGUACCACGCUGUGAAUGGAUCGGGACCAGUCUACAUCCGGGACAUGGUUAAACCCUACAUCCCAACCCACACACUCCGAUCUGCAUCUGCCACGCUGCUUGUUCCUCCCUCACUGAGAGAAAAGCACUCGACGAGAUCGCGACUCUUUGCUGUCCUGCUCCCAGAUGGUGGAAUGAGCUCUCUGAUGACAUCAGGACCGCAGAGAGCCUCUCCAUCUUCCGUCGAAAACUCAAGACACACCUUUUUAGACUCUACCUUGACCAAAACACUAGCAAACCGUAGCACUAACAAAUGGUAGCACUUAAAUUGUACUUAUAAUGCCACUUAUCUUUAACAUGU